rnacentral:ribozyme from 16 species
CAAGAAAGACAAAUAAAGAGAAAAGUGAAGCAGAAGACGAAAUAGUAGUAGCGACCAUUGAGGUUUAUGUUUCUUCUUGUUGUUCUUCUUCUUGUUGCUGCUGUUUUU